GUGAUGUCCAUCUGUGGAGCAGACUUCUAAAAGUUCCGAUUUUGUGGUCUGCUGCUCUGUCACUUUCCGGUAUCUGGCUGAUGGAGGCUCCUUCCUCGUGCUUUAUCCUACCAUAUAUCUCCUCGGAUCUACGUCUCCUCACCUCCUACCUUGCAGAAA